UUACCAUUUCUGUGGACGGGGCCAGGAGGAUGGAAAGCCUAUGAGGCAGAUGGUGUAUCUGCCCCUUUAAACGUGGCCAGAGAGAAACUCUGCUUCCUAGAUGGCAACAGCAAUACCACUUCUAGCUGCUGGCUCCACUGGGUGGAACAUUCUCACACAUCUUUUCCUAGAGAUCGACCAAAAGAUGGCAGCCAGCUGUGUUUGUCCUCAAGGUACCAUGUUGGGAAGGUAAAGAGAAAUAGGAGCUCCAGGAUGUGGGCUCUUCAGUCUGCAGAUUCUAAGCCAAAGCUAGUAUGUGCUGCUUACAAAGAGAAGCCUGAAGGAUACAGGACCCCAAUGGGACCCAGGCCCCCAGGACCAGCCUUGCAAACACAACAACCAGAGUGGCCCCAGCUAACAAUGUAAGCCCUGGAAACUUGGGAUUGGAGGAAAUCAUAUGGGCCACUGAGUCCUCUCACCAGGUACUGUAAUCCCCCUACAGCGGCCCUGCCAAGUGGUCACCCAGCCUCUGCUCGAAUUGCUCCAGUAAUGGAGAGCUCUGCAGGGAUCAAGGCAACUAGUUGGUUUUAAAAGCAGGAGCUAUUCUGACUGGUGUGAGGUGAUAUCUCAUGGUAGUUUUGACUUGCAUUA